UAUGAUAUCUUGGUGCCUCUAAUUUUUCUUUUCAUUUUCAUGCUCAACUCUCUCUCUCUCUCCAUCUGCAUCUUCUAUCUUUGUGCGACUCAGAAUCACUCCCAUCCCACCAGCAAGGGCUCAAAUAUGUAGAGCAUCAAUGUCGAAGCCACCGUUGCUCAUCUUAAUGUCGCACAGGACCACAUAGUGUCCGUCAAUCGUCCAUUGUUGCACAUUAUCGCAUGGCCACCGCUGCUCACCAUUGCCUUGACGACCACCACCGCCAUUGAUGUCACCAUCGCAAACCAGCAACCAUUCUCUUCUUAUCUCACAUUACGAUCCACCAUUGGAGCACUACCCCCAAUGAUUAUUAGUUGUCCAUGGUGCAAAUUCCAAUCUCCGACCUCAAUAUUUUCUCGCCAUUAUAUCUCUAUUUUGAACAACACCUCAUGAUCUGGAUCCCCUAUUCGAUUGCCUCCAAUCAUACAUGAUUUUCUCGAGCCUCGCAUUCUCAAUGUUAGAGUUCCACAACGA